UUCUAUGGCCAAAUCACCCUGACCACACCGGAUCCCGUCUGAUCUCGGAAGCUAAGCAGGGUUGGGCGUGGUUAGGACUUGGAUGGGAGACCACCUAAGAAGACCAGGUGCCGUAGGUG
ensembl:rRNA 5S_rRNA 5S ribosomal RNA